rnacentral:rRNA from 1 species
UUAGUAUUUGGUCGUAGACCCGAAACCAGGUGAUCUACCCUUGGUCAGGUUGAAGUUCAGGUAACACUGAAUGGAGGACCGAACCGACUUACGUUGAAAAGUGAGCGGAUGAACUGAGGGUAGCGGAGAAAUUCCAAUCGAACCUGGAGAUAGCUGGUUCUCUCCGAAAUAGCUUUAGGGCUAGCCUCAAGUGAUGAUUAUUGGAGGUAGAGCACUGUUUGGACGAGGGGCCCCUCUCGGGUUACCGAAUUCAGACAAACUCCGAAUGCCAAUUAAUUUAACUUGGGAGUCAGAACAUGGGUGAUAAGGUCCGUGUUCGAAAGGGAAACAGCCCAGACCACCAGCUAAGGUCCCAAAAUAUAUGUUAAGUGGAAAAGGAUGUGGCGUUGCCCAGACAACUAGGAUGUUGGCUUAGAAGCAGCCAUCAUUUAAAGAGUGCGUAAUAGCUCACUAGUCGAGUGACACUGCGCCGAAAAUGUACCGGGGCUAAACAUAUUACCGAAGCUGUGGAUUGUCCUUUGGACAAUGGUAGGAG